rnacentral:rRNA from 1 species
UACGAGAGGCCCAAACGUUAUUCGGAAUUACUGGGCUUAAAGAGUUCGUAGGCGGCGCGGAAAGUAGGGUGUGAAAGCCCUCGGCUCAACCGAGGAAUUGCGCUCUAAACUACCGUGCUUGAGGAAGCUAGAGGUGAGCGGAACUGAUGGUGGAGCGGUGAAAUGCGUUGAUAUCAUCAGGAACACCGGAGGCGAAGGCGGCUCACUGGGGCUUUUCUGACGCUGAGGAACGAAAGCCAGGGUAGCGAACGGG